rnacentral:lncRNA from 10 species
CUCAUCGAAGCUAUCAGAGUUGUCUUUGGCCAGGAGAUGCAGUCAUCCUCAUGGAAGCUAUCUGAGUGGUCUUUUGGCUGGGAGAUGCAGUCAUCCACAGAUCUCUUCUUGUUUUAGCCACCUCUCUCUCCUCCAUGGGCUCUCUAAGGAAAAUACAUGCAUAGGCUAAACUGGCAAAGGAAAGCAAAGUAACGCUUUAUUAUUAAUUGGGACUUUGGUUCCAAGCCUCCAAACAGAAUUCCAUUAAACUAUGUUGGACUCAAUAGGUAAUUCUUCAUGAGAAUUUAUGAGAAUAUGCAUAAGGCAGCUCAGAGCUUAGAACCAAGUGCUGGGCAGUAUAUUCCUUUUUAUGCACUCACAACCAGACCUUAAGCUUGACUCCAUCAACCAGGCCAGAGAAUUCCUACAAUAGCAGGAGGAAAUGGAGUCACAGCACAAGGGACCCUGUUUGUCUGCAGUGCUCAGCACAAAACCAGCCAAGCCUGGUUGCUGUAUUAGGAAGAGAGAACUUUCCGAGAGAAAGCCUGUCUGGCCCUUGGCACUUCCCGCUGCAGUCACUGGAGAGGUAAGAGAGAAAAGGGGCCACUCUGUCAUGUGUUUUCUCUGAAAACAAACCCAGGACACUAUGACUAAGCAUUGACCAAGAGCUUGGAAUUUCCUGUCCUUGAUGCCACAAGCAAUCCCAAACUUGGCAAUGUAAAAUAGCAACUGUUUUGUAGUGCUCUUGGGUUCUGCAAUCCAGGGAUCUGAGAACAGCAUUGUAGGGUGGUUUAUCUCUGCUCCACACUGUCUGCAUCCUCAGCUUGGAAGACCGGGAGGCUGGAGGCAGCUUGGCAGCUGGGGUCUGAACCCCCCUGCAGGCACACUUCUUCACAUGGCAGUUGAUGCUGGCUGCUGGCUGGGACCUCUGCUGGGCUGCCAGCCAGAAUAUCUGUUUGUGGCUUCUCCAUGUGGCUGUUUGGGGUUCUUCAAAUUUCUUCUAAGAGUGAACAUCCCAAGAGAACCAGGCUGAAGCCAUAUCACCUUUCGCAUGCUAGCCUUGGGAGUAAAAUCAUGUCCUUCUCAUUGUACUCCAUUAAUCAGGGCAGUCGCAAAGAUCCAGCCAGACUGAAUGAGAGGGGACAGACAUCAUCAUUCCACGGCUGGUACGUUAAGCUUACAUUGUAAGAAAAGCAUGUGGGAUGUGCAGUGUUAUUACUUGCCACCCAACUCACCCUCGAUUAGUAAUAAAGUGUCUAUAUGGGACACGUGGAAGCAAGGGGGAGAGAAAUAAGAGUCCUAAGUUUCUCCCAGAUACUGACUGAUACUGGGAAACGUGCCUAAAACCCACUGCUGGAAUCCUUCUCUGGAUCAGAGCACGCAGCCUCAGAACAGUGAGUAAUUAAGCUGUUAUUGGCUGUUGGUGUCAAUAGCCAAUACUGACUACACACUUCAUUGUCUAUUGGUCAUAUUAGAAAGCAGACGGGACUGAAGAUCUAGACGGAUAAAUUGUUCUUUGGUGAAGGGUUUUGGGACACGUUUCAUCAAUAGGUUCCUAUCAGGCAAAUGCUCCAGGAGGCUGGAGAUGAAAACUGAACAAAUAACUGAAAGAAAAGAAUAAAGAAAUGCCUUCUUUAAGCCUUGGCUCCUUCACAAUUUGACCAUGACCAGUCCUUCCCAGAAGUGAGAGUCAGCUGGGCAGGAGUUUUCCUCCAUCAGUGGAGUCAUUUUAUCAACAUCCAGCCUUAGAGCGCUUCUUUACGGAGGGAGAAACUCAAACACAAGGCAGGGGAGGUGACAAGUGUGUUCUCCAGGCCUGGGGUUUCAGGUGAGGGUGGAGGUGUGGGGCCAGGCAGGUGGUGGCUAUCCCCUCUUCCCCAUAAGGAAGAUAACACGAACAUGCAGGUUGAUGCAGGGAGAGCAGAAUUAUGGGAUGUUACAUCUUACAGAAAUAUCAGUUAUGUUUCUUUAAUUGUCAGUGACAAAAAGAUAUUUUUUCUACAAAUAAAAAAGGCCAUAUUUGGAAUAAUAUGGAGCAUCUUACAAAAGGAAAAUUGUACCUGUACCUAAUAAGCCAUAGUAGCUCUGGGAACUGAAUCUCGGGCACCAGGAACAGUCUCGCAUGUCAUUGUAAUCUGGAUUCAUGAGCUCUGACUUUCCACAGUCUUUGAGUCACUGAGCACUAGGAUCAACUUUCACAGAGGAUCCAGAUAAUCAGCCAGCUUAAGUCACACUCCUACAGCUUGGCUAGGGUAGGGAUUCCUCACCAACAGUCCCAUAAGAUCUUAUCCAGUCAGGAGGGGCUGGCCCAAUCUGAAGUGCAGCCGAGACCGGGAGCCACAGACCUGGAACCUGUGUACUCAAAGAGUUGUCCACAUGCCAGCAGCACUGGCCCUUCCAGGAGCUGUUAGAAAUGUAGAACCUCAGAGCCUACAUUGAAGAUAUUGAAUCGGAGUCUGCACAUCGCUUCUGAGAAGCCAUGAGCUAAGCUGAUGCCAUUCAGCUGGGUAGCAUCGCAGUCACUGUGCAACUUUUAAACAUACAGCUGCCCAGGCCCACUGCAGACCUGCUAAAUUCAAGCUCCUUGUAGUGGGGCCAGGGCCCUGGGACUUCAUACAAAACUCUGCAAGUCAUCACUGAUGAGAAAACCAAGACUCGAUGAGAGUCUCCUGAGCUCAGAGGAAGAAGCUGCAUAACCAGCACACUUCCAGAGAGGACCGAGGAAGAGAGCGUUGCUUCAGCCAGGGUCUCAGCAGACCAAAGCAAGUUAUUUUCUGAUGAAAGGAUUUCAUCGGACCUUGAUGCUCACUUGGAUUUUUAAGUGGAAAAAGGUCACUGUGUCUCUGUGCAGUUGCAUCAUGCAAUUCUAAUGAGAGAGGCUUCUCAGUCACUCCAAAUGUGACCGCGUGUGCAGAUCCUCAUGUUCUCAGACACCAGCCCCUUCUCCCAGACUGGCUUGCUCCAAACUGCAAUCCUCUGAGGCCCAUGAUCAGUGUCCUGGUCUGAGGCACAUGGAGUGUGUCACCCAGAAUUUUUGGAAUGGAAAUGCACUGAUCCUCACAAGAGGCAAUCACCAUUACACCAAGGGAGCUUCUAUGGCUUUCUGUUUGAUCGCAGUUCUACUCCAGGAGGCUGCCACUCUGUUAUGCCCAGGAUAGGUUCAUGAAGUGGAUUCCUGAAAUGCUGCGAUUCACAGAGGGUUUCCUCUCGCGUGUGACUGAAUUUAUCAACAUGUUUAAUAAAGCUACGUGAUCUCCCGCAGGCGUUGGCUGCAUAGCAUCGCGUGUCCACCAGAGCUGCCUCCCUCCCUGAGUCAACGCAUCCCUGAAGAUACACAGCUUAUGUCAGCAGCACAGACCUGCAUCCCCCAUGGUGACUCAAUUUACAUUCCAUACCCUUGCCCCUGCAUGGGGGUCUUCUUGGAAACUCUGAGACAAGUUGGCUGUGUUAGGAGUCCCCUGAUCUCAAUCUUGCCCAGCCCUAUGUGAACUUAGGUCUCUGGAGACUAAGAAGCCCCAUGGGCAGAGGAGGAGGAGCAGCAAAGGCCCCAAGCAUGAAGUGAUUUGGGGGGAGGAGAGAGGAGUUUCCAGAGAGGGUGAGCACCCCAUCCCCACUGCGGCACUGUCCCUCUGCCAAUGCACACGAUACAGCGGGAGUCCUUCCUCCCGCCUGGCUGUGCAGAGUGGCCCUGGGACCUCUAGGUGGGCAGAGAGCGGGAGGUGCAGCAGAUGGAGACGGGCUCCUUAUACUCUCUCCUCACUGCUGGGGAGGAUAGAAGCAGGAGCCACGUGGCUUCAGAGCCUCCUGUUCCUCCCCUUCCCCAAAUUCCUAUCAACAGCUAACCAAAUCCCUGCAAACACCCGCUCUCCAAGCACCUGCUAAGAACCAGGGGUCCUUGGCAGAGGACUCCCCUCGCAGUGGGUGCUCAGAGCCCACUGAUCUUGCCCCUCCGCUGGCCCGGCUAUGGGAACUGGCAGGUGGCAGCGGAGCUGGAACUUAGGAAGGGCAGGAUGUCAGCUUGGAGCCAUGCCGGCUGUCACCAGAGGCCGCCCCUCCCACAGCUAAGCCUUCCCGGGUGUUGUGUCAUGAGCACACACAGUCCGGAGUCUCCGACACCACUUUGUUUCCCCUGCUCUAUCCAUGGGGCCACCUCUCACUUUCCCAAAAGAGAGGGCAGGGUGUCAAGCCGUCUCACAGAUGGCAGAGCAGAUGCCUGACCAUACUCUCGAGCAGCUUCAGAGAAGUAUUUAUGCCCUGAAGUGGUUUCUUCAGGUGACCAGAUGAAGGUGAGUUGCUGGACACCACCUACCCCAAGGCCCCUGUCCUCAGGGAGCUCAGGUCCGUGCCCCUCAGAGGUUCAUGCCCCUCAGAGCCAGCCAGCUCCCCCUUCCACCUAACCCUGACCAGCAGGAGACCUGUGGAAGUCAGGGGUCGGCCGUGCCCCCUUUCCUCAACCUUCCUGCCUCUCAGCCUUCCCAGGCUGCAGAAUUUCACCCCUCAGAGGCUUCCAGAGUCUGCCCACUCCUGUGAGGAACCACCGUCCUCCAUAAAUGAAAUGCAGCCCUUUCCCUGGGGAAGCAUGGGGGGCUUACUGAACCCGCUUCUGUGAGGCUGGGCUUGACUAGUGGGCAAAGCUGAGUGUGGCUGGGCCUGGCUGCUCCAGCGGGGCGGUCCCUGCUGCUCCCCGACCCAGAAGGUGGCCUGUGGCCAGAACGUGGUCUUAGAGCUCAGCCCUGACCAGCUUGUGAACUCAGCCCCGGUCGACCCAGGAGGAAGCACAGGUCUCUUGUCUCACUGAGUCUCAUCCCCUCAGCCACAGACCUUCCUCCCCAUCUCCUCCACCCGCAGAGGUAACCGAGGGCUGGGAUGGGGCUAGGAGGCCUCGUAUAACUGUGGGAACUGUGGCUGGAGGGUGUCAGAGAGAGAACGCGGAAUUCCAGUCUAGUGUGGAAGUGAGGUGAGAGAUGCAGAUUGCGGUUUUAAAAUCUAUAUAAAAUUACCAACUUGAAUAUUUCCUUAUGACUCCUGGAAUUCUACUUCUCGGCCCCUAAGUGUGGACAUCUGAUGCAGUUCUGGAAUGUAGAAGGGUUUUAUAAAGGUUUCAGGAAAUGUUCUUCUUUCCCUAUUACAAGAAACAAUUGACGUUUCUGCUCCUAUAUGCUUUUCUUUCUGCUUUAAAAGCAGAUAAAAUUUUCAGCUACAGCUUCAAGCUAGUGAAUAAAGCUGUGGAAAUCUGGUUUCAAUACAUAGAAUUCUACCUCUGCGAUGACUGCCUGGCGGUGGCUGUUACGUGAUUCCGGGGACGUAAGGCCUGUGAGAGUGAGUUCAUGUUUUAGAAAUUCAGAACAAACAAUUUCUGAAUGCUCCUCAGAACACCCAUCUCAGGCAGAGAAUCUCACCGAAAUAGAGAAGAAGCUCAUGCUCCUGGAAGAAACAGCCUGAGGAGAGCCGCUGGGCCACAUCUGGCCACUGUCCACAGCGCUGUCAGAUCCAACGAGAGCCGCUGAGUCACAUCUGGCCACCGUCCGCAGCACUCACAUCUGGCCACCGUCCGCUGCGCUCACAUCUGGCCACCGUCCGCAGCGCUCACAUCUGGCCACCGUCCGCAGCGCUCACAUCUGGUCACCAUCCACAGAGCUCACAUCUGGCCACCGUCCGCUGCGCUCACAUCUGGUCACCAUCCACAGCGCUCACAUCUGGCCACCGUCCGCUGCGCUCACAUCUGGCCACCAUCCGCAGCGCUCACAUCUGGCCACCGUCCACAGAGCUCACAUCUGGCCACCGUCCGCAGCACUCACAUCUGGCCACCGUCCGCUGCGCUCACAUCUGGCCACCGUCCGCAGCGCUCACAUCUGGCCACCGUCUGCUGCACUCACAUCUGGCCACCGUCCGCAGAGCUCACAUCUGGCCACCAUCCGCAGAGCUCACAUCUGGCCACCGUCCGCAGCGCUCACAUCUGGCCACCGUCCACUGCGCUCACAUCUGGCCACCGUCCGCAGCGCUCACAUCUGGCCACCGUCCGCUGCGCUCACAUCUGGUCACCGUCCGCAGCGCUCACAUCUGGCCACCGUCCGCAGCGCUCACAUCUGGCCACCGUCCGCAGCGCUCACAUCUGGCCACCGUCCGCAGAGCUCACAUCUGGCCACCGUCCGCAGCGCUCACAUCUGGCCACCGUCCGCUGCGCUCACAUCUGGUCACCGUCCGCAGCGCUCACAUCUGGCCACCGUCCGCAGUGCUCACAUCUGGCCACCGUCCGCUGCGCUCACAUCUGGUCACCGUCCGCAGCGCUCACAUCUGGUCACCGUCCGCUGCGCUCACAUCUGGCCACUGUCCACAGAGCUCACAUCUGGCCACCGUCCCCAGCGCUGUCAGAUGCCGACCAAACCCUGCUUUGGUGUUGAGGUGGUUUGUCUAGUAGCCUCCUUUCUUAAGGGAAUUUAAUCUGCUGCAAAUGGUUCUCAUGUAUGCAAUAGAUGUUACUGUAACUGUUUUAUAAGGUGCAUUGCCUUCACCUUGCCAGGCUCUAUGCCAGUCUGUGUCUAGUCUGAUACCAUUCCUGCACACAUACAUCAAUGCCCCAGCAUUUGGAGGGCUGGAGUUAGGAAUAAUCCUGUUGGUGACUUAUUAUUAACUAUUGUAUGGGACUUAUUAUGUAUCUUCAUGUUCUACUGUUCCCACCUCCCAAACCCCAAAAAAGGAUGAGAUCUGUUUUAUAACAAAAACAUUUACGAUAAGGCCUAUACCAUAAAAUAAGUAAUAAAGUUAAUACCAACAAAAAGAGAAGAAGUAUGAAUUACUGCUGUGGUUAGGGUUGACAUUAUUCCUACGAUUGAGCUUCGAAGACUUUUCUAAGCAGUAAUAAACAUGAACCAAGCGUCACACAGUUCCAUUCAUGGUCCUGACCUGAGAGAGCGCUUUCCUAGAUGGACACCCACUCCCUCUCCCAACUGCCCAACUCAUCAGUAAAUGGAGUUUGAUUUAAGCCAAACCUAAUGCAGUAGUUCCCUGUACUUGAGGUUUUUCCUUCUGGGAUUUCAGUUACCUGUGGUCAACGAGAUCCAAAAAUAUUAAAUAGAAAAUUCUAGAGAUAAACAAUUUACAAGUUCUAAACUGCACGCCUUUCUGGUAGCAUGAUAAAAUCUCAUGCUGUCCUGCUCUGUCCCUCAUGGAAUAUGAAUCAUUCCUUGUCCAGCAUAUCUACUCUUCAUAGCAGCAGUCUAGGUUAUCAGAUUGACAGCUCCAAGAAGAAAAGUGAGUUAAGUACAAUAAUAUAUUUGUGAAGAAAGACCAUAUUUAUAUAAGGUUUGUUACAAAACACUAUCAUAAUUGUUCUAUUUUAUUAUUAGUUGUUAUGGUUAAUCUGUUACUGUACCUAAUUUAUAAAUUAAAAUUUAUCAUAGGUAUGUAUAUAUAAGAAAAAACAAACAAACAAACAAAAAAUAUAUAUAUAGGAUUUGGUACUAUCCACAAUUUCAGCUAUUCACUGGGGUCUAGGAAGAUAUUUUUCAUGGAUAAGAAGGGGGCUGGGGUAUAGCAAAAUAAAAUUAAAUAUGCAAAAAUGUCUAAUCAUAUGACUAAAGAAAAUAUACACGACAUUAGAAAAGAUAAAAGGAUCAGUGGUCAUCAUAGCAGCUUCAAAUUUAGAAUGCAUAUUUACAGUUAGUAAUACAUUUAUAGCAAUCUAUUCAUGAUGGGUGGUAAGAAGAGAGUAAACAAUCUUUCAUUGGUAAAUCUUUUCGAGAUAUCUCAUUGCUGAAUACUUUACAUGCUAUCUCAUUGAAUGUUUAUGAGGAUCUCAAGAAGUAGUCAUAUUCCUAAUAGAGAAAAAAAACUUGAGUUUUUUUUUUCUUGCUAUUUCAGUGUUCCUUUUCCUUUGCCAGUCCUCCAAUAGCUGUUCAAUGAAUCUACAUAUUAAAUUUAAGGCUGACUCCAUCUCCUGAAUCACAGUGGUCAUUCUGCCUCUUGGACUGACUCCAUUCUUCAUUUAUUGAGUCCUUGUGGAUAUAGAGCCUCAGCCCUUGUCAUCCCCUAAGGCAAGUGUUGGUCUGAGAAGCGAAACCAAGCUGGCACAGCACUGUAGGCCUGGGAGGGAAAGUGACAUGUGCCUGCAUCCCAAGGAGUGGGGAUGAUGAAAUCAUGAGGGACUCAAUGAGGCUAUCAUUUGGGGUGCCACUGGAACAUUGAUUAGUGAUGAAAGAGGAGAGACCUUUGGCCUCCUGAGAGAAUAAAUCUGGUCCUCAUGGUGUCUCCUUUCCAAGAUCACCUCGUUCUUCCUGUCUUACCCACUUCUCAGCUUGGGUAAAUAUUAAACCCUCCAGUGAAUGGGGCCAUGUGAAAUUUUAGUCUAUCUAUCUCUACAUCACUGAACAUGUUGGACUCCACUAAUCUUAAGCACAAACAUCAUUUUUCCUCUUAUCAAUGAUCUUUUAGCAUUUUAAGCAACUUUUAUAUAACAAUACUUUUAAUAUUUUUUCUGGUAUCUUGUCUCAGUAUCUUCCCAUGUAGAACAACUCUAUGUAUCACAGAACUACUAAAAGCAAUUAAA